rnacentral:snoRNA from 1 species
UGGAAGUGAUGAAAUAGAGAUAAUUGGAUGUGUCUUUGAAUGAGUGUGUGUGAUAAACGGAAUUUAAACCAAGUGGGGUGGGGUGUGGGGAGUGUGUGUGUGUGUGUGCAUGUAUAGAGGAGGCUUCAAACGGGGGCACUGACAAUGCAGUGCUGAUUCCGGAGUGCAUCUGAGGCAUGUUGUUAAAUUCUGGGGUGCCACAUUGCAACAUUGCCGAUGAUUAAAGCCCAAAAGAAGCCCACCAAGAGAAGCCUGGGCAUCCUAAAUCUCUAACAGGUUCAUUAAUGAAAAUGAUCCUGUGAUCUGAUCUGA